CCCUUCCAUCCCCGCCCCGCUCCACUUCCAUCCUUGCGCCCCGCUCGCCAGGUCGCCCGUGCUCGCACCCCCGAUCAUCCGGCUCCCCUUCCAUCCCCGCCGUCAUAUCGAUCCCUGCUGCCCCUGCACCAACGCCGAGUCACGCAGCGAGGAUCCCCGCCGCCAAUCGUGGUUGUGGAGGCAGGCCAGGCAGCAGCGAGAUCCAGCAGGGCGCUCGGCCCUCCCCGAUCCGAGCGACCGCACGGCAAACCCAGCCCGCCGCCAUCCUGGUCUUCGAGGUCGUGCUCUCCCUCCCCAGGCCAGGACAUGAUCGCUCAAGCCUCGAGGCAGGCGGUGUGAGGCCAAGGGCGGUGGCACCUCACCAGCAAGCGCCACCUCCUCCCACAGAUCCGUCGACACCUUCAACCCCUACGCCCGUAAACCUACCACCCCCGCCUCCUUGUUUCUCUGUCCAUCACUAGGGUUUGCGUUGCUCAGGGUGCACAACAUGGAUUGAUCUGCUCUCCCCAGUCAUGCCGAUCUGUGGUAGAAUCUUACACUCUCGGAUCAUUAACUUGUUGAGAAUGUUGAUGAAGAUAUGGUCUUCCUACAAUCUCUGAUUGAACAUUCUGAAGCCUGCUAUAACCAUUUUUCACUUUUGCAUUGCUACCUUGUUUAGUUCUUAAUAACCCAGCUUCACUAUUUUUUGAUGCAUCCUAUAUAGUUUGGGUUUUUCUUUAUGUAUCAACACCUAGGUUAGUACCUAAAGUCAGAAAAUGAAUACAGUGGAAGGUGGAACCAAUACAUGUUACAGAUACAUGUGUACUGCACGGGUUGCUAUUUACUUAUUUAUUUAAUAGCACAAUACGUGUGUACAAGUGAAUGGGAAUAUUGAUAUCGAUUUUGGUUUAGAAUAUUGGUUUAGUAGAACAACUGUCUUUAAGCAUUCAAAACCUGAAAAGGUAGGCCAAUUUUAAAGAUAUGAAUAGCUAAAGAGGUGAGUUUUGAUAUUUGGGAAAUUUACAGACCAAGCAUGAAAAUCAGACUAAUUUCUUUAGUAACAGGUUAACACAUCUGGUUGUGGUACAUGCAAUCGUUGUUAUUCCCUUAUGAUAUAAACUUUUGCUUGCAAAAUAGAGUCUGACAGUAUGCUUUGAUUCUACAGAUAUUUCUGAGAAUUGCGUAACUGCAUAAUCUUAAUAGGGAGUUCCAUUUUGGGGUAUCACCACAAAUUAUUUGGAAGAGGGGUUCAGUCGAAGAACUUAGGUUAUACUUCGACAAAGAAUAGAAGGUGAGUUCCCAUCUUGUUUUUUUCCUUGAACAACUCCUAGCAAUUUGUUGCUAUGAAAUAUUAUGGCCAUGAGUAGAACCAUUGUUGUGCACACAAGUUACCAUCAAAGCAGAUAUGUUAAUAUUGUUAUUCCUACAAGAUCAAAAUUUUGUUUGCUAAAAUUUGGAUGGAUCUGAAAAUUUUUAUGUCCAAUGUAUAUGUGCUGAACGACCCUCUAGGCGAUGAUAAAUUAUAAAUAUGAUUCAUGAAACCUAUUUAAAGGACUAUACUUCAGUUAUAUCGGCUUCACAAAGUUUGGUUAUCUCCUACAACUAAAAAGAAAGAAAGUAAGACCAUCAUUUUGUGCGACAAUUGUAGCUCCGUCGGUCCACUUCACCCCCUGCGACCUCCGUGAUUCUACCACACCCUAGCCAGGUACCACAUCCAGAGAACCAGGUACAUUGUGUACCUUGUUCGCACCAUUGUAGCCUGAACCCUGCCCCGCCAGGCCGACCAUAACAGGUAUUACCUCAUUGACCAGUAGCUCAUAACAGCCUGGACUGGGACAAGGAUUUAUUUUUCUUCAGACUAUAUGGUCUGUCAUAGUGUAGUGUACAUGGUCUGGCAAUAAGGAAUAUAAUUAUUUGCUAGGAUGGAUGCCGAGUUGUUUACAUGUGUGCGGGCUGUCUGUUUUCUGGUUAUGACAAGGCUUAUAUGCAGACAUGUGUUCUUUUGGUGGUUUUCUUGAGGUGUUGAAUUGAUAAAAUAUGAUUUGAGGUGUCUUCAUGCAUCAACCAGUCCCUAAAUUUCCCAUUGCUAAUAAGAAACAAAACACCUAAACACAGAUCAUGCAUUGGAUUCAAAAUACUUGUUCAUACUUGCGGCCAAGCCUUUGGUCUGUGGUUUAAUUAAUCACUCUAUAAUUUAGUGAUUUAAUAUAUGCAAAAUAUAUUCUGCUGCCACUACUUUUCAUAAGGUAUUCCCCAUGUCCAAUUACACAAAUGGAUGUACGAGUGGCACAAACUUCUUGAAUAGACAGGAAAUAGAAGAACAACACUAGAAAAUUUUGUCUCACUUGCCUUGUUCUCAUGAUGAGUUUGUAUUGGAAGUUAUAUAUUUGUUUCUUCAGAUGCAGUAAGUAUGUUUUCAAGUAAUUUAGUGUCAUUGUUUUUUACAAGUUGGCUUGAAAGAACUUUCUGGCUACAUUUUGGGCACUGUGUAAUUUUGUGCCACCAGCAUUGGCCUAUUUAGUAAUCUCUGGUGUUAGAGACCAUGGUCAAAAUUUGACUUGUGAUCUGCUAGGUUAUAGACCAAAUUCAUAAAUUCAAGGAUCUGAGAUUUCAGAAAAGAAAUUAAAGGAUGUGCAGGACUUCUGAUCCUCUGUGCCAUUAUUUGAGAAUUCUUGUGUGAUUAUCUGAGAAUAUAGUUAUAAAGUUAUAAUGAUUCUUGUGAUCUGCUAUUAUUAAGUCUACUUAUAGGCCAGCUGAAAAGAAUUAUAGUUGCUUUUGACCAAGUCAUUCUGGGAUCUAUUUUUUUCUUAAUAGUUACUAAAAAUGACUUGAAGUUAAGUGCUAAUAAAUCAUUUUAUUACCAAUUGCUUAGUUGAGGAAAACAUUUACUUACAAAAAUCUGAGCUAAAGUUGGGCAUUUGUGAUUUUAGUGAUCCUUUUAAACCAUCAUAUACUUUAUCUUAAUGACUGAAGUCAAACCGUGCUGCGGCUCCUUCGAACCGGACACCAACAGUAACGAGCUACAACAUUGACAGAUCAUUCUUAUGACUCCGAAGGUGGUCUCUGGUUUUAAAUUCAAAUUCAUAUAUAUCUUAUCCCUUAAUUUAAUUAUUUUUGAGAAACAAAUGGAUUUAAAAAUAUGACAGCAGACAAAAGACAUUACAUAUUUGACUGGGCUAUGGAGAUUUUCUUCCUGCCACCAUAUGAAUUGUGAAUCUUUUCGUAUCAUUUUUUGUGUAGUGUGUACUGCUUGUGCAGGCCAUGAUUUUUGGCCUGACGCUCGACCCAAACCUGGUAUUUCACGUUUUGGUUUUUGGAGGAUUGGAGCUACCUCUAUACAACGAUGCUCUGAUUAGAGUUCUUAAGGUGCACAAGCUCAAUAGGCUGGGAGGCUGGAGGUGUCACAUAUUACUGUAACAAUCUCCACUAUAGGGAAUUUAGUACAGCGAUGCACACUGCAAGCUGAUAUAAUCAGGCUACCUGCCAUUCAUACAUAUUGAAUUGGGUUGUCAUUCUCGGAGUAGGAGCGUUGUAAACUGGCUUGCCAUGUUUGAUAUCAUUUGUACCAAAGAAAUAAGAAAAUGACAUAUUGAGAUCUCAACAUAAUUAUCAAGCUCUGUUGAGCAUACUGCUAUUGCGAUCAUAUCUGAGUAUGCUACUGCUGUCAGCAUGAUGUUUUUCUAUUCAUCACUGAGAUCAUGUCAUGUUCAAAUUUUGUCACCCUCCAUAGGAUUUUUCUUUUGUGAUCGUGUCUCAGGGAACAUGAUAUUUGUUAUCUACCUGGCUCCUUGUGAAUUUCUACCUAUUAUGGAGUAAUUAAUCCUGUGCUUAUGUCUUUGGUUGUUGCUACACUUUUCUAAUUCAUUGUUUGUACUUUGCAGGAUGAAACCUAGAAGGCUAAAUAAUUUUGUUGAUAUUUGCCGAACAGAACACUCUAUUUGAUCAUGAUCUCUACAUAUGAUUUGCAUUGUUUCUUUUGUCGACAAUAGCAUGGCCAUUAUAUUAUGUGAGCCAGCGCGUUUAACACUGUCAUCACUGCAGAGAAACUAGAACAUUGGUGCUGCUCAGGAGAAUCGUCAGGACACUCUUAUCGUCAAGAAGUUUGCCUCUCACAAUUGUCUUGAGUCUUGACGAGGGUGAUCUGAUGGCAGCAUGCUUACAACCUAGAUAGUGCCCCUCAGGCAAUUGCCUCCAUGGAUGGUGUGACCUCUGCAACUAGACAUUUCAUUCUAGAAUCCCCAAUUGUAGUCGGAUUUAUUUAUUUUUCUUGAGAUUUAUUCUUCUCCUUAUUCUCCAGCUAAGGACAAAGUUGAUUUCUAGCUUAGAGGUUUUCAUUUCUCCUAUGUAGAUCGUGGUGCAGACAUGGUGUUAGGGAGGAAGCAGUUGGAGCGAUUUUACCUUCACUGCUGAUUGUUGAAUUCCUACAGUGUUUUUGUUUUGCUUCAUAUUUUAAGAUACACAUCUACACUUCAGUCGACUGAAAUCUUGGAGGCAUUUCAGGCAUCAAGUUUGGGGAGAGGAUAUCCAUGGCCAUUUUCCGUUGCCGGCAACCUUAGUCACCAUAGCUCGGUUAGCCCAUGAUGGUGUAGUUGACAAACACUUAUCAAUUAUAAGUUGUCAGCCGUCUUCUCUUCAGCACUGGUAUGGUAAAAAUACAGCACAUUAAUACUCAAAUUAUUGAGAUAUUGAUUUUUUCAUUGCAACACAAACUUUUUUUUUCUAAUUAUAUAAAAUAGGUGCAUCAUGGAAAGGUAUACGGUAGAGUUUGUGAGCCUAUGACAUUAUGGUCUUCAUGACGGUUAAUUUCACAAACUUUGUCUUCUGGAUUAAAUGUCAUUUUAAUUGUUCGUAUUUAAUUUUAUAGUACUGUUAUUUUAUCAUGCGAUCUAUGUAUUUUUAAUACAAAAGUUUAGAUAUCCCGUAGCAACGCACGGGCACGCUACCUAGUAUAGGCGAGUAAAGUUGAGCAUGCGGCCCGCGGGUCGAAUGCACGGCUCAAAGCACGGUGAUUUAGCCCGGCUCAAGCACGGCACGGCCUGAUCUAACCAGGCCCGGGCCGGUCCGAAGCACGUAACGGGCCAUGCUUGGGCUGACCCCUCGGCC
rnacentral:lncRNA from 1 species